rnacentral:snRNA from 1 species
AUCACAUCAAUGAAUGCAUAGAGACAUCCGAUAAAAUUGGAACGAAACAGAGAAGAUUAGCAUGGCCUCUAUGCAAGGAUAAUUAAGACCAUAAAUGGGAUAUAAUUCGUGGUG